AUGGCUGUCGGUCAGCUCGUGUCGUGAGAUGUUGGGUUAAGUCCCGUAACGAGCGCAACCCUUGUCCUUAGUUACCAGCACGUUAUGUGGGCACCCUAAGGAGACUGCCGGUGACAACCGGAGGAAGUGGGGAUGACGUCAAGUCAUCAUGGCCCUUACGGCCUGGGCUACACACGUGCUACAAUGGUCGGUACAAAGGGUUGCCAAGCCGCGAGGUGGAGCUAAUCCCAUAAAACCGAUCGUAGUCCGGAUCGCAGUCUGCAACUCGACUGCGUGAAGUCGGAAUCGCUAGUAAUCGUGAAUCAGAAUGUCACGGUGAAUACGUUCCCGGGCCUU
rnacentral:rRNA from 1 species